AUAAAAAGGGACUGUUUAAACUAAUCAGUACGGCAGUUGGCGGAGCGCAGACUCCCCUGCCAUCCAGCGCUGUCUUUGCUCUUAUUCUACUUGCUACAAUUAAUAAAAUUAUAAUUGGCUUAUGAUCCAUUGUGGUCUCAAUUUAUGACAAUCUUGGUGCCGUGACUCGGAUAAGGAACGGUGAGCUUCAGUCCUCCGGGGAGGCGCCCCGCGGCAAUCCGCGGCCCCGUGACUGACAGCCUACCUCAACCUUACCGACGAACCUAAAUUCUAGAAUAAUGAGCAAAGGGGAAACCGGUAAAAUCCCAUAAAAAUUCUGUGCACGGGAGUCCGGACGAAGACGCAGGGACGCAACACCGUAACAAGCUUUGGGAGCAGGGACUGAUUGUGCAACGACCCCCGUUGGACUUAAAAAUUCAUAAUGUCAAACCUGGAUAUUGAUUAAAGUGUGGAAGGAAGAAACUCUAAGACCCAGCUGGGAGGGACCUUAUCUUGUUUUGCUUACAACAGAAACGGCUGUCUGGACUGCUGAGCGUGGAUGGACUCAUGGCAAUUGCAUUAAAGGCCCAAUAACGAGACCCCACUGGAAAGUAAUCAGUACUCCAGGUGACACCAAGAUAACCCUGAAAAGAUAACCCUGUGUAAAUAGGUAAAAGGCCCUGAAACAGCUGUCUCCUGAAGAAUUCCCUUGCUGCCGAGAAGAUGGUACACCCCUGUGGCCCGAAGCAACCGAGUCGACGGGCGAGGCAGAGGAGGAACAAACUGUGGAGAAAAGAACCAAAACAAUGGGACGCAAAAGCAACCAUGGUCGAACUUCCCUAGGACUGGUAAAAUUAUACUUAAAUUGGUAAAAUUGACAAAUACCGUUUUUCCUGGUAUACUGGUGGUUUUGCUAUUGAUACUAACUCAAGCAAAUGGGAACCCCCAUGAGUCAAUGCUCUGGAAAUUAUAUAACUUACAGGAAAGUAAGCUUAUACAAAAUCGAAGCAGUUCGGAAGGAAAUUGGAAUUUUACUGUAUCUUUAUUUUCGCUAAUACCUUUUGAAGCAAUGGGAUGUCAUCCGACAAACUGUUUAAAUUUGGGUUACACCCAAGCGCAAUGCAAGGCAUGGUACAUAUGUCCAGCCUCAAACCCUGGAAAAAGUUAUUGUAAUUACCCGGGACAUUAUUAUUGUGGUUAUUGGGGUUGUGAGACAAUAGCUUCAGAUUGGAAAACAACAGGAGAUAGAUAUAUAGACAUCACUUGGGGACCUCCUGGAUGUAAGAAACCACAACACAGAUAUGACAAAUGGGCUAUCCCGACACCAGGAACUAAAUGGGUUUGUUCAGACAUCGGAAUAACACCAUGUCUGAACUUCGGAAAAAGUUAGAUCAACGUAAAAAGGAUCGUGAGGUGGGCAGAUCAUGGUAUGAAAAUUGGUUUUAACGUUUCACCCUGGCUAACCACUUUUUUGUCUGCUUUAGCAGGACCGCUUAUUAUGUUGAUUCUGGGGCUUAUAUUUGGACCAUGCAUAUUACGCUAUAUUUUACAUUUUAUUAAGGAGCGGUUUGACAUAGCUAAACUACUCAUUCUAACUACGGAGAGCUGAGACAGAUUAUAAAAGUAUACCUACUAAUGAAGAUGAAGAUGACGAAGACUGUUGUGAAUGCGAUAUGCCACGUGAAAACUAUGAUUGUAAUUGUAAGGUAUUAUCUUGUGAGUGUUAUGAUACAUGUCGGGAUUGUGGAAAAAGUUUGCCUGCAGUGUCGAAAAUGAAAAUAGCGUCUAAUAAUAAUAGGAUAAAAGAAAAAGGGGGGAUUGUAAGAAACUAUGAAUUAGGGUAUUGUUUAUUAAAAUCUAUGUUAAGCUCAAUGUAAAGGUUAAGUGACAAAAGAAAGGAAAGUGCUUAUGCGAACAGCUGCAGGACAUCACUCAUGUGAGAUAAGAUAACUGCAAUUGCCUUCACAUACCAGACACCAUUUGUGUAAACAGGAGAGAUACUGCUCAAGGAUGACUACAAGAUGUUCUAAGGGACUGGCGAAGAUAAGAAAAACAACUCUAUCUAAGUGAGGGAUCAAUUAUAAAACAAAGAAGGAAAACUUCUUACUCAGCAAGCACCGAAAGACAGAAAAAAAGACCCCUCACAGUAACUGAAGCAUGCGCAGAGCAGUUCUCCUGCUUUACGGCCACGGAUGUAAAAUGUAUAAAAAGGGACUGUUUAAACUAAUCAGUACGGCAGUUGGCGGAGCGCAGACUCCCCUGCCGUCCAGCGCUGUCUUUGCUCUUAUUCUACUUGCUACAAUUAAUAAAAUUAUAAUUGGCUUAUGAUCCAUUGUGGUCUCAAUUUAUGACAGUGAGUAAUGAACUAUAGUGAAAUUUCUUUAACAGACUGUGUCAAAUAAAAACUAAUGUUUGUUUUCUAGUA